rfam:Oryza barthii chromosome 2, whole genome shotgun sequence.
AAAAAAACAAACCGUGGAUUUCCAUGUCCAACGUUUAAUCAUCCGUUUUAUUUAAAAAAAUUAUGAAAAAAUUAAAAAGAUAACUCACGCAUAAAGUAUUAAAUCAUAUUUUAUCAUCUAACAACAAUGAAAAUAUUAAUUAUAAAAAAAUUUCAUAUAAGACGGACAGUUAAACAUUGGACACGGAAACAUAGAGUUUGUCUUUUU